UCGUGGGGAGAGAUCUAAUCG
rnacentral:miRNA from 1 species